GACAGAGGCCUCAAGCGUUAGGCGGAAUCACUGGGCUUAAAGCGUGUGUAGGCGGACGCCUAAGUGUCUUGUGAAAUCCCCCGGCUCACCCGGGGAACUGCUGGGCAUACGUGGGCGUCUUGGGCCAAUUAGGGGCAACUGGAACAAGCGGUGGAGCGGUGAAAUGCGUAGAUAUCGCUUGGAACGCCGAAGGUGAAAACAGGUUGCUGGGGUUGUGCCGACGCUGAGACACGAAAGCCAGGGGAGCAAACGGG
rnacentral:rRNA from 1 species